rnacentral:rRNA from 1 species
GACAGAGGGGGCAAGCGUUGCUCGGAAUUACUGGGCGUAAAGGGCGCGUAGGCGGGAUGGCAAGUCGGUCGUGAAAUCCUUCGGCUCAACCGAAGAACGUCGAUCGAUACUGCUGUUCUUGAGGGUUGCAGAGGAGACUGGAAUUCCCGGUGUAGCGGUGAAAUGUGUAGAGAUCGGGAGGAACACCGGUGGCGAAGGCGGGUCUCUGGGCAUGUUCUGACGCUGAGGAGCGAAAGCUAGGGGAGCAAACGGG